GCGCUCACUUUAGCACCACAUAUACUAAAAGUGGAACAAUACAGAGAAGAUUAGCAUGGCCCCUGUACAAGGAUGACAUACAUGCAACUUCGUGAAGCAUUCCAUAUUUUU
ensembl:snRNA U6 U6 spliceosomal RNA